AUGAGGACAAUGUCAGGAUACUUCACUGCGCUGGUGUCCGUCGGGUUCCUGUCCCAGCUCGUGCUCGCUGACGGGGCCAUUGAAUGUUCAGAGGAGGAAUCCCCGCUGAGACCGAUCUCCAGCACGGUACCCAAAGUCACGCGCUGUUUAAUGGAGUGCACCGGGAUGACUUACAUCCUAAAGCUGCAGCUUGAGGACCAGCGUAACAUACGGCUCACAGACGCCACAGAAGGGGAACUCGGGGAAUACUGUUGGUCCACGGAGAUCAAGUGCAUCAAAGGAGAGAGCUUCGAGCGAGCGUACGCGGUGCUGCCCGUGGAUUUAUCUGCAGUGGGACCUGACCGGUUGGAGGUUACAGCCACCGCUCCCGGUGCCACCACGCUGCGCGCGCACAGCGGCCGCUCCACCGUCGCGGACGACUGCGGCCUCCGUUACGACGUCACGGAGCAUUUCAGCACAGCGACGGCUGGGACGUCGUUCUGCAUACGGGUUAUGACCCCGGAGGACGUCCUGGGGGACACGGUGCUUAAAUGUCCUCCGCUACUGGUCACCUUCUGGCAGAGGAGUCCAAAUUAUCCCAACCAACGAGCCGGUGGCUAAAAAAGUCGCAGGUCUUUUACUUUUACCUGAACUAUAAAGUCCUCACGUACAAGCCCAGAUGUUGAGAAUAGUACACUGAGUGUAUUUAUACUGCUUGACGUUUUUCUAUAGGUUCAAAGAAGCAAAGAUGAUAUUAUUAAGGCUUAAUGUUGUGUGAAAAAGUCCAUUACAAAUGAGAUUAAACUCAGGAACAAUCACCUGGACUGGUUACAGUUUUCCCCCCUUUCUGUUAGUGUUCUAUGAUGCAGUCACCUUCAGAAACAAGCACAUUACUGUAACUGGAUUAGUACAAACGUUCUUUUCCCUCAUAGUGGUUUCAAUUUCCUGAAAAAAAAAACUUUUCAAAGACUAUGGAAGCUUAUUAAUAGUUAAAUCAUCCAAAGAAUUUUCUAACUUGCUGUUGUUUUAGAUGUACCGUAGAAGGCAAAAUAAAUUACUUUGCAUGUAUAAAUCCA
rnacentral:lncRNA from 1 species